UACGGGGGGGGCAAGCGUUGUUCGGAAUUACUGGGCGUAAAGGGCUCGUAGGCGGCCAACUAAGUCGGACGUGAAAUCCCUCGGCUUAACCGGGGAACUGCGUCUGAUACUGGAUGGCUUGAAUCCGGGAGAGGGAUGCGGAAUUCCAGGUGUAGCGGUGAAAUGCGUAGAUAUCUGGAGGAACACCGGUGGCGAAGGCGGCACCCUGGACCGGCAUUGACGCUGAGGAGCGAAAGCCAGGGGAGCAAACGGG
rnacentral:rRNA from 1 species